GUCCUACGGGGGGCAGCAGUGGGGAAUAUUGCACAAUGGGGGAAACCCUGAUGCAGCAACGCCGCGUGAGUGAUGAAGUAUUUCGGUAUGUAAAGCUCUAUCAGCAGGGAAGAAGAUGACGGUACCUGAAUAAGAAGCCCCGGCUAACUACGUGCCAGCAGCCGCGGUAAUACGUAGGGGGCAAGCGUUAUCCGGAUUUACUGGGUGUAAAGGGAGCGCAGACGGCAGUGCAAGUCUGAAGUGAAAGCCCGG
rnacentral:rRNA from 1 species